rnacentral:rRNA from 1 species
GAAUAUUGGACAAUGGGCGCAAGCCUGAUCCAGCCAUGCCGCGUGUGUGAAGAAGGUCUUCGGAUUGAAAAGCAUUUUAUUUUGGGAGGAAGGGGAGUUAACGAAUACUUAACUGUUUUGACGUUACCAAAAGAAUAAGCACCGGCUAACUUCGGGCCAGCCGCCGCGGUAAUACGAAGGGUCCAAACUGUAAUCGGAAUUACUGGGGGUAAAGCGCGCGUAGGUGGUUCGUUAAGUUGGAAGUGAAAGCCCCGGGCUCAACCUGGGAAUUGCUUUCAAAGCUGGCGAGCUAGAGUACGGUAGAGGGUGGUGGAAUUUCCUGUGUAGCGGUGAAAUGCGUAGAUAUAGGAAGGAACAUCUGUGGCGAAUGCGACCACCUGGACUGAUACUGACACUGAGGUGCGAAAGCGUGGGGAGCAAACAGG